CUUCCGGACUCGGGGCGCCGACUCCCCGGGGCUCUGGGUUCCCGCGCUGGUGAUGGAGCCCCUUGAUCACCACAGGGUCUGUCCCACCAAGCCGUGAAAAGGAAUUCGCAGACGUUUUUAGAUUUUGUCAGAAGUGCACUGAUGUGUGGAGUGAUGGAGACCAGCAUGGCCCAGCCGGACAAGAGAGGAGACAAGACCUCAGAUCCCUGUGGUGGAAAUUUACAAAACAACUGACUAGAAAUGACAGCCCACCACACAUACAUGAUUUACAGGAUGUAACAGCAGGAUGGAUGAUUGUGCAGUAGGAUCUUGCUCAGGUUGUGAGGAGAACAGGAAUUUCAUCUUUAGCACCGAGAGGAAGUGGCAUCAUGUGUUAAGCAAAUGUGCAGUAUCACUCAUCCAUCACAAUCAAGGACAUGAGGUGGGUCUACUGUCACCUGUCCUCUGAGGAGGCCUCUGGAUGGCAGGGGCUCAUCUCCUGGUGCUUAGAUAUAAACAGCAGGUGAUCCAAAGGCACCAAUCAAAAUGCAGAUGCCUCCCUGGUGGCACAGGGGUUAAAGUCUCAGCACUUUCAAGCUAUCACCAGCCACAGCAACAUAAGUUUGAUCCCUGGCCAGGGAGCUGACCCACACAUGGCACAGCAGACCUCUCUUGUCUUGCCCACUGCUCCCCUCAGCAGUGUAUUUCAGUAGAUCUGCCUGUUCUGCUCCCCACUCUUGUGUCUGGUGACUCCUCUCAGCCCCCUGCACCUCUGGCCUAUCCCCCAGUUCUUGUAUGCAGAAAUGAAAAAUAAAAAUGAAUCUUCA